GUAGGUGACGUGCCCUUGGGGCCGGAAUAGCUACGGGAAACUGUAGGUAAUACCGGAUAACCUCCCGAUCUUUGAAGAGGAUGGGAGCAAUGGGUGAGAUUCCACCCAUGGAGCGGCCUGCGUGGUAUUAGCUAGUUGGUGAGGUAAUGGCUCACCAAGGCUCAGAUGCCUAGGGGGUGUGAGAGCAUGGCCCCCACCACUGGGACUGAGAUACUGCCCAGACACCUACGGGUGGCUGCAGUCGAGAAUCUUCGGCAAUGGACGAAAGUCUGACCGAGCGACGCCGCGUGCGGGAUGAAGGCCCUCGGGUUGUAAACCGCUGUCAGAGGGGAUGAAAUGCGCAUGGGUUCUCCCAUACGCUUGACAGAGCCUCAGAGGAAGCACGGGCUAAGUACGUGCCAGCAGCCGCGGUGAUACGUACUGUGCGAACGUUAUUCGGAAUUACUGGGCUUAAAGGGUGUGUAGGCGGCUGAUUAAGUAGGGUGUGAAAGGCUCCGGCCUAACCGGAGCAUUGCGCUCUAAACUGAUCGGCUU
rnacentral:rRNA from 1 species